AUACUAAGUAUUAUUAAACGGCUAGCAAAGGAAAGUUAAACAUACGACAUGAACUGAAUUAACCAGUGCACAUGACUAGUAAAAAAACAAACAUCCUUUGACAUCAAGUUUCUAAUUAAAUCAUGGAUGCGCUUGGGCAGCCUUAAUAUGAGAGUGAAAGUGGACGUGCUGCUACUCCCCUCAUUCCCAACAUAUAUCAAGUACCUGCAUUGAGUAAUGCAAGAGUGAGAUGACACAUCUCAGCAAGUAAAAUAAUAACAAACUGUUUAACCAUAUAAGAACAUUGUUUUACCACCAUUUGAUUUCGCAACCUUCUUAUUACGAAGGUGCAGCACGAAUACAACGUACAACACACCUAGUUACCACACCUUGCAGGUAGAAACCACAAUAGUAACAUAGUAAUGUCACACUUCAUAUAUACCUCAUGAGUGCAAAUGUCUGCAAAUGCAAGGAUGACUUCUGCCUUCAUACCUCUAAGGAUAUGAAGCCGCAUCGUACCCCUCCUCGGGCAACGUACGAUGCUAAAAGUGUACCGGUACGGUCGGACCAUAAGAUCACGACAUAACUUCAAAAUGCAAUAUGGAUGAUGCGAUGUGCAUGACAUGCCUACAACACUUCAUACAACAUGAUUCAAAAAGAUACUUCAACUUCAUCCAAGAUGGGAAUCAACCACAUAUAUCAUUCCCAAAUCAUGAUCAUCCUCAAUAUUAGACAAUUGAGAAUUAAUUCUUUCGAACAAAUAAACUUCAUCAUAGAAUUCAAUGAUUAACACAUUUAAUACUUAUGCAUACUCAAUGACAAGGCAUAGGAUGCAAACCAAACGGUAGCAACCACCACUGUAUUUACUUGCCUUCACCGGGAAUUUGGAAUGGUACUAAGUACGAUCCGGAAGUCCACCACCUUGGAUUCCUCCUUUCCUCCUUCCUUCCUCCCACCAAUUCUCCAAUCGGAACUUGCACCCACACGAAGAAGAUCCGGCGAGGAAGGACAUCACUUGGAGAGGAGGAGAUGGGAGGGGGGUGGCGGCUAGGGUUGAGGGGAUGGGGGCUGCUGCACAAGAGAGAGGGAAUUAGGGGGAGGGGAUGGCGGCCAAAGGCUAGAGAGGGGGGGGGGGCGGCUGCACAAGGGGAAGGGAAUUAGGGGAAGGGGCGGCUAGGGUUAGGGGGGUUAGUGGGCCGGAUCAAGAACCACGGCCCAACUCGCUCACGCGUCAACUCCCGACCCCGGCGCACAAGUCUAACCAAAAUUCUAUUGUUUUACUAGCGAAUGCUACCCAACAAUUCCAAACUCCAAAAGUGCACUACCCAAACGAGAAGCAAAAAAAAAAACAAGAAAGAAUAAACUCCAACUUCUCUUCUUUGCAAACUGGGUAUCACACUCUACCCCCCUUAAAAAGAAUUCGACCUCGAAUUCUGACGCUUUUAUCGGAACGACAAAAGCAAGAUUAAUGAAUCCACAAAACUCACACAUAAUGAAAAGUUCGGGUACUUCUGCCACAUCAGCUCCUCAAGCUACUAGGAUUCUAAGAUACGCAGCAGACGACACUCUAGAGUCUGGUCUUACUACACAGGGAAUCGACUCUAGCUCGAUUUGAUGGUCUGGAUUCCUCAAAUACUUCCUCAACAUAAAGACAUGGAAUACAUGGUGUACUAUGAUUAUAGAUUCCGACAAUUGUAUGUGCUAAGCCCAGCUGCCAACUCGGCUAAGAUAGUAGACAGUCCUAUAUACCUCGGACAAAGCUUUCCUGACACCAAAUCAACAUUGACAUAUGCAAGUACUUCAAGGAAUGUAUAUAUGAAUGCAAUGCAUAUAGUGUCCCUAUAGCCUAAACCAAACUUAGCCAAACAAGAGCAACUUCAAGAGAGCAACUUAAUGCUUGCAUAUUUCUGGACAGCAGCACAACGGUUAAUUGUUUUGCUCAUAACUCACAAAAUAUGCAUCCAAAAUAGUAGACUAGGACUUUAUGGAAAUCUUAUAAAGUCCACUAUACCCUUGGUAUUAUCAUCACAACAAGAUUUGACACAUAGAAAGGUCAAACAAUGCUAAACGUAAAUUCUGUCCAGACUUGGACAGAAUUCAACUACUCAAUUCAAAAAAAUCCCUAAUUGGAGUCUCAGUCAUCCAAUUCAGGUGCUCCUAGACUUUUUUAGAAAUCUAAUAGAAUUGUCUAUAAUUCAUUUAUAACAUAUCAUGUUAAUUCCAUGCAUAUCAAGGUCAAAAGACAUGAGAAAGGCUCUGCUAUCCAAAUUUGGACAGAUUCAAAGAUCACACUUAAAACAGCUGUAACUUAACUUAUAGAUCUCCAAAAAAGGUGAUCCAAAAUUUGUUGAAAAGAUUAAGAAAAGUACUACAACUUAUUUAUAAUUUAUAAGAACUUAUUCAAAGUUUAAAUUGGGCAAACGAGGUCAGUUUCGAAGUCUGUACAAAAUCUGGACAGAUUCCAAGACUGGACUUGAGAAAAUCAUAACUCCCAAACUACUAGACCUACGGUCAUGAAAUUUUUACACAAAUAAGAUAAAGAAGUUGGCUACAACUUUUAUAUAUAACAUCUCUACAGAAAAGAUGGUUUACUUCGUUGAACUAGCUGCAUAACUAAAACUGGUCAUGCAGUCCCAACAACAAGCAAUAGAUUUUAUGAGGUUCAUUACUCUUCUAAGAUAAAGCGUUCAUCGAAAGACUAAUAACUUUAGGUUCUUCAUUACGAGACACUUAGAACAAAUAUAAGUAUAGAAGCAAUAUGAUAACUUUUUAAAUCAUUUAAGCCUAAUCUCACAUCAUGCAAACAAGAAUCAAUUUAAGCAUGUUAUGCCUGCCCACAUAUUUAUCCAAGCACAUUCUAUACACUAUAUCAUAACUCCCUAUAGCUAACAAAAUUUUGCAAAUAUAAACUCAUUGAAAAGAUUAUAACAUUCCCUAAAACUUUUAUUAUAAUGAGUGUCUCGAAUUUGGUUUCCAAACCGAUAAAACAAUGCAACACUUUUGUUGCAAAACUGAUAGGAUUGAAACAAUGGACAACUAAAAUUCAAAAACCUAUAACUCCUGCUAUACUCAACUUAAACUACAACGAACACACGUUGGAAAAGUUUUGAAAAUUGUCCACGACUUUUGCGAUAAAGUUGCACCCAAAUUUAUCUUUAUAGCCCUCAACUAUGCAUGACCUACAGCUAAACUCCGCCUGAGAUACUGCACAUUAGAGAUUCGACUUAUAAUCGGACAACCACCUCUCCCAAUCAAUUUAACAGACAAUUACAAGUAAAUGCCCAUUUAAAAGGUACUGAGAAGAACUAAAAGUUUUGCUUAAAGAGAAUUCCCAACUUUGGGCUAUGAAACUAUCAAAACAUGGUCGAUUUAUUGGUGGUUAUAACGACAACUAAAGUUCAGAUACAACGGUGCAACAACUUCAGAGCAACCUAACUCCAAUUAUAUGCAAUGAGAAUUACAAACCAAUACUCGUUGGAAAGAUCAUAAAAUUGCUAAAACUUUCAUAAUCCAACAAAGACCAAAUUAUAUUGUCUUCAAUGUCUACUCUUCCGUUCAAAAUUAAAGACUCAUUCUGCCAGAGACACCAAUAAGGAUGUUUUAGGAAACCCAUAACUCUCAAAUGUUUGGACCAAACCGGGUGAUUAAGCAUCCUAUGGAAAGAUGAAAAAACAUACUACAAAACAUUCUAGACAAGUGAAGCCUGAUUCAGCAUCCAACUAAUUUAAAAUGCCUCCCAAAACCAAACAACACAUUAACAACAAUAAUAAAAAAAACAAUAUAAAAUGAAACCCAAGGCACUGGCAGGUGCAAUCAACACUAGGAUUUUCCACUACCAAAUUGGGAUGCAACUCCACAAAGUCUUUAAAUAAAACUCUACCAAAUAGGUUAGAACACUAAGCACAACAAUCAACAAAUUCAACAUCCUCGUUUGUUAACGCCACUAAGGUCAAACAUCCAUGUAUCGACAAUGUAUGGAACACCUGACAUACCCAUCUCAAGCACUAUAAAACAUGGUUGUUAUUACACUAGAAUCCAACUAAUAGAAAUCUCCAAAACUAUUUUGUUGACGUGAAGCAAAUGGUGCUCAUGACAUAUAACAUCUUUUUUUUCUCCUCUCAAAAGAGAUAAAAUGUGCAACACUCAUAAAGCAAUGGAGGGAUAACAACAAGAAAAACUAAUGAUCUUCUUGAUACAAACUCAUGCAAAAGCUUCAUAAAUAUUACUUUCAACACUAAAAUAAUAACACGAUACUAUGCUCAACAGGAGUAAUUGGACUUCAAUAAGACAAUCCACCUAAUCAAACUACCUUGAUUAACCUCACAUACAACAAUACCUCCUAUUAUUGCACUUGAACAAUUUCUACCUCGUGAUGUCAUAGGAUGAAUUCAAAGUAGUAGACAUACAUGAUCUAUCAAACCAUCAUUCAUAUGAAAAAAAAUCUCCAUCUGAUGCAACAACCACAUCAUUAUAGAGAUAGAUGACUAACAAACAUAAGCAACUUCCAGUUAAGCAUUGACUUUGUUUAAGAUAAAGCGGUCCAAAUAAUAAUUCAACAAGCAUGCAUAGAGAACAGAUCAAAAAAAUAAAACUACCAUAUAUCGUCGGCGAUUACAAAUAUAUAUAAAAUGGGUUGUCCAUAUCGUCCACAUGACUAGCCUCCAACAACUAAAAAAAAUAUGCAUAACCUUUAUGGCUAUAGAAACAAACCAUGGAAGGAAAACAUGCAUGCCUCUUCAACUAUAAUAUAGACAUAAAAUCCACUUGAAAUCACCCUAUUUAUUGCUAAGGUUGCACACAAUAAGAAAACCUAUCAUGUAAACAUGGUUGAACUUAUCUAUCCACGUCAUCUUACAAAUUCACUUGAGUUCUACCAGUCUCAAGGUUUCAUAAACAUUACAACAUUGCCUUUGCUCUAUGGAGACAAACCUCUUGUACUCUAAGAUCAAGUUGGCAAGUAGCCAUAUUAGCCCAAAGGGGUGAGGCACAAAGCAUUGAAUCCAUGGAAAUAUUACAUUGAUAAGUUGGGUUGUAACCCAACAUUCAAUCAGACUCAACCACAUGAUAAAACUACAUUAUAUCGUGUUUUCACACCACACCAAGCCGGAUUAGACCCACUAUACACAAACUCAAUAAACAAUCGGUCCUACAAGUACUAGAACCCAAAGAAAUCCAUAAAAAAAACAUCCACAGUCAAGCAUAUAGAAAUAUAUGAUAGUAAUAGCUCAGAGAUUUGAAAAACAUCGCAUAAAAAAACAUCAUGACGAUAUGUAUACAAAACAAGUACAUUAGUAGCUUCACUUGCAUAAUAACUUCAGCAACAACCACAUCAAGAAACCAAUAUUAAAUAGAAGUAACAUAUCAUAUCAAGCAUUAAGUCAUUAACGACAUAUCCCAUCAAACCAUAAAGGGAUUUGGAGUAAGGGAAUUCUAGUCAUCUAUACAAUAAAAUACUAAUAUGAAAGAUAUACGAACUCAUACCCUUCCUAUAUGUGCAAGUGUGUCAAAUUUAUCUUCAAAUUGCGUAGAAUCUAAAGCCUAUCCUCUGAUACCAACUGUAACAUCCCGGAAUCCACAAACACCCCGGAAUGCUACUGAACUACACUUCUGACAUCCGUAUAUAAAAUUUCGACAGCAUCUCCUUUGCAAAAUAGCAUAAAGGAGGGGGCAACAGUGUAUAAACAUGUAUCAUGACAAAAAACAUACUAAGUAUUAUUAAACGACUAGCAAAGGAAAGUUAAACAUACGACAUGAACUGAAUUAACCAGUGCGCAUGACUAGUAAAAAAAACAAACAUCCUUUGACAUCAAGUUUCUAAUUAAAUCAUGGAUGCGCUUGGGCAGCCUUAAUAUGAGAGUGAAAGUGGACGUGCUGCUACUCCCCUCAUUCCCAACAUAUAUCAAGUACCUGCAUUGAGUAAUGCAAGAGUGAGAUGACACAUCUCAGCAAGUAAAAUAAUAACAAACUGUUUAACCAUAUAAGAACAUUGUUUUACCACCAUUUGAUUUCGCAACCUUCUUAUUACGAAGGUGCAGCACGAAUACAACGUACAACACACCUAGUUACCACACCUUGCAGGUAGAAACCACAAUAGUAACAUAGUAAUGUCACACUUCAUAUAUACCUCAUGAGUGCAAAUGUCUGCAAAUGCAAGGAUGACUUCUGCCUUCAUACCUCUAAGGAUAUGAAGCCGCAUCGUACCCCUCCUCGGGCAACGUACGAUGCUAAAAGUGUACCGGUACGGUCGGACCAUAAGAUCACGACAUAACUUCAAAAUGCAAUAUGGAUGAUGCGAUGUGCAUGACAUGCCUACAACACUUCAUACAACAUGAUUCAAAAAGAUACUUCAACUUCAUCCAAGAUGGGAAUCAACCACAUAUAUCAUUCCCAAAUCAUGAUCAUCCUCAAUAUUAGACAAUUGAGAAUUAAUUCUUUCGAACAAAUAAACUUCAUCAUAGAAUUCAAUGAUUAACACAUUUAAUACUUAUGCAUACUCAAUGACAAGGCAUAGGAUGCAAACCAAACGGUAGCAACCACCACUGUAUUUACUUGCCUUCACCGGGAAUUUGGAAUGGUACUAAGUACGAUCCGGAAGUCCACCACCUUGGAUUCCUCCUUUCCUCCUUCCUUCCUCCCACCAAUUCUCCAAUCGGAACUUGCACCCACACGAAGAAGAUCCGGCGAGGAAGGACAUCACUUGGAGAGGAGGAGAUGGGAGGGGGGUGGCGGCUAGGGUUGAGGGGAUGGGGGCUGCUGCACAAGAGAGAGGGAAUUAGGGGGAGGGGAUGGCGGCCAAAGGCUAGAGAGGGGGGGGGGCGGCUGCACAAGGGGAAGGGAAUUAGGGGAAGGGGCGGCUAGGGUUAGGGGGGUUAGUGGGCCGGAUCAAGAACCACGGCCCAACUCGCUCACGCGUCAACUCCCGACCCCGGCGCACAAGUCUAACCAAAAU
rnacentral:lncRNA from 1 species